CAGCUGUUGAAUAAAUAGCAUACAGGAAUUUACAAAUCCCUCGUAACCGCAGAAAUAAACAAUACAGACACAUACUACACAGUGUCAGGUAAUACCCUCUUUCUCAGUCUUGCUGCCACUGCAAGGAACUUUGCCACCAUGAGGGUCACCCUGUGGUGCUUGUCCUCCAAAAGAUGUCUGACCUUCCCUUGCGGGCAAUGGUCGGACAUUCGGGUCAGGAUUGGGUGUAAGAGUUGGUCAGGUUGAGCUGAGUAAUAGAACAGAACUAUGAUAUAUUAGAUAACUGAGUGGAUAAUAUAUAAUGGAAGAGGGUGGAGAAAUGAGGUACUAGAUAAAUGAUGUGUAUGUACUGAAUGUGCAAAUCUACUCACAAUACAAAAUAUAAUAUCAAUAAAAAUAUAUUUAUUUUUAAUAAGUUAAAUUAAACUUCAUUCUUGCAAGUAUAAGCAAGAUAAGGAAUAAAGUCUGAAGAUGCUGCUAUUUUCUAAACCACACUUUGGAUGGAUUAAUCAGGGAAAAGAUGGUUUCUCUUAAACCUUUCUACCCACUCAAUUCUUACAAUGAAUACAAUAUGGCCCCCAAAUCUAUGUGGGAAACCUUCCUAUAUUUUGUCUGGGUAUGCAAAACCAUGAAUAGUAGUGAAGCCUAAUAAAAUAUAGGGCAUCUAGUCUUAAAAAAAUCCCAUAGAAUCACUAUGAAAGACCUAAAAAUGCCCAGAGAAGCAUUGUUGGAAGUGGAUAAAUGAAAUUGUGGGUAUUCCAUGGAUACAUGGGUUGUACUCCAUGUGAAAAUUAAGGAAAUGUUUAUUUUUGUUGUUUGUUGAUUCUGCUUAUUCCUCUUCCAUGCACUUAUUGCAGCUCUCCAGAAUGCUCAGCAGGUUUUCAGAAAGAUCAACAAAGACAUGGUGAACAUUGAGGAUCUGCAUCCAGUUUUGUCAUCUUUAGGGGUUACCAUGAGCUCGAAGAUUGUACAACAGGCAUUGGGAUGCACUCAGGUUACCUGUGAGUAUUAUUUAUUUGCCAUAUUUAAACCCCGCCCUUCUCUCCAAAGAGGACUCAGUGCAGCUCACAUAUAUAUAGGCAAUAAUUUGAGGAGAUGAGCACCAACCCCCAGAGUCUGACACGACUGGACUUAAUGUCAGGGGAAAACCUUUACCUUUAUCUUUACCUAUGUUUUAAAGUUAUUGAAAAGUUAUUCAUGACAUGAGUCUCAUUCCAUAUGGAUGAAAACAGGAGAUUUGUUUUCUUCCGCCCUGUAAUUGGCAGUGCUGAAGGAUACUUUCAAUGCUAUGAGUAAU
rnacentral:lncRNA from 1 species